rnacentral:rRNA from 1 species
CUGUAGAGAUACGGGGGUGCCUUCGGGAACUGUGAGACAGGUGCUGCAUGGCUGUCGUCAGCUCGUGUUGUGAAAUGUUGGGUUAAGUCCCGCAACGAGCGCAACCCUUAUCCUUUGUUGCCAGCGGUCCGGCCGGGAACUCAAAGGAGACUGCCAGUGAUAAACUGGAGGAAGGUGGGGAUGACGUCAAGUCAUCAUGGCCCUUACGACCAGGGCUACACACGUGCUACAAUGGCGCAUACAAAGAGAAGCGACCUCGCGAGAGCAAGCGGAUCUCAUAAAGUGCGUCGUAGUCCGGAUUGGAGUCUGCAACUCGACUCCAUGAAGUCGGAAUCGCUAGUAAUCGUGGAUCAGAAUGCCACGGUGAAUACGUUCCCGGGCCUUGUACACACCGCCCGUCACACCAUGGGAGUGGGUUGCAAAAGAAGUAGGUAGCUUAACCUUCGGGAGGGCGCUUACCACUUUGUGAUUCAUGACUGGGGUGAAGUCGUAACAAGGUAACCGUAGGGGAACCUGCGGUUGGAUCACCUCCUUACCUUAAAGAAGC